AUUCUCCCAGCUCUGCGUGGUCGCGCUUGCUGCUCCGCGCGCGGCCUUCGUCAUCGGGAGAUACAGUAAGGGGACCCCGAGGCCCGGGCCGGCCGCCCCGUGGCCGCCUCUCCCUCGGGGGCCCGACAGCC